rnacentral:rRNA from 4 species
AAAUUGAAGAGUUUGAUCAUGGCUCAGAUUGAACGCUGGCGGCAGGCCUAACACAUGCAAGUCGAACGGUAACAGGAAGCAGCUUGCUGCUUUGCUGACGAGUGGCGGACGGGUGAGUAAUGUCUGGGAAACUGCCUGAUGGAGGGGGAUAACUACUGGAAACGGUGGCUAAUACCGCAUAACGUCGCAAGACCAAAGAGGGGGACCUUCGGGCCUCUUGCCAUCAGAUGUGCCCAGAUGGGAUUAGCUUGUUGGUGAGGUAACGGCUCACCAAGGCGACGAUCCCUAGCUGGUCUGAGAGGAUGACCAGCCACACUGGAACUGAGACACGGUCCAGACUCCUACGGGAGGCAGCAGUGGGGAAUAUUGCACAAUGGGCGCAAGCCUGAUGCAGCCAUGCCGCGUGUAUGAAGAAGGCCUUCGGGUUGUAAAGUACUUUCAGCGGGGAGGAAGGUGUUGUGGUUAAUAACCGCAGCAAUUGACGUUACCCGCAGAAGAAGCACCGGCUAACUCCGUGCCAGCAGCCGCGGUAAUACGGAGGGUGCAAGCGUUAAUCGGAAUUACUGGGCGUAAAGCGCACGCAGGCGGUCUGUCAAGUCGGAUGUGAAAUCCCCGGGCUCAACCUGGGAACUGCAUUCGAAACUGGCAGGCUUGAGUCUUGUAGAGGGGGGUAGAAUUCCAGGUGUAGCGGUGAAAUGCGUAGAGAUCUGGAGGAAUACCGGUGGCGAAGGCGGCCCCCUGGACAAAGACUGACGCUCAGGUGCGAAAGCGUGGGGAGCAAACAGGAUUAGAUACCCUGGUAGUCCACGCCGUAAACGAUGUCUACUUGGAGGUUGUGCCCUUGAGGCGUGGCUUCCGGAGCUAACGCGUUAAGUAGACCGCCUGGGGAGUACGGCCGCAAGGUUAAAACUCAAAUGAAUUGACGGGGGCCCGCACAAGCGGUGGAGCAUGUGGUUUAAUUCGAUGCAACGCGAAGAACCUUACCUGGUCUUGACAUCCACGGAACUUUCCAGAGAUGGAUUGGUGCCUUCGGGAACCGUGAGACAGGUGCUGCAUGGCUGUCGUCAGCUCGUGUUGUGAAAUGUUGGGUUAAGUCCCGCAACGAGCGCAACCCUUAUCCUUUGUUGCCAGCGGUCCGGCCGGGAACUCAAAGGAGACUGCCAGUGAUAAACUGGAGGAAGGUGGGGAUGACGUCAAGUCAUCAUGGCCCUUACGACCAGGGCUACACACGUGCUACAAUGGCGCAUACAAAGAGAAGCGACCUCGCGAGAGCAAGCGGACCUCAUAAAGUGCGUCGUAGUCCGGAUUGGAGUCUGCAACUCGACUCCAUGAAGUCGGAAUCGCUAGUAAUCGUGGAUCAGAAUGCCACGGUGAAUACGUUCCCGGGCCUUGUACACACCGCCCGUCACACCAUGGGAGUGGGUUGCAAAAGAAGUAGGUAGCUUAACCUUCGGGAGGGCGCUUACCACUUUGUGAUUCAUGACUGGGGUGAAGUCGUAACAAGGUAACCGUAGGGGAACCUGCGGUUGGAUCACCUCCUUA